rnacentral:misc_RNA from 1 species
GACAAAAUGGUGUCCUGCUCCAGGUUGUGAUUAUGCAAUAGAAUAUGAUCUUGGAAGUGGAAGCUAUGAUGUUACUUGCAGUUGUUCCUUCAGUUUUUGUUGGAAUUGUACAGAAGAGGCUCAUCGGCCCGUGGAUUGUGAUACAGUGUCAAAGUGGAUUUUGAAAAACAGUGCCGAGUCGGAGAACAUGAAUUGGAUCUUGGCUAAUUCCAAGCCCUGUCCAAAGUGCAAGAGACCAAUCGAGAAGAACCAAGGGUGUAUGCACAUGACUUGUACACCACCAUGUAAAUUUGAGUUCUGCUGGUUGUGUCUUGGUGCAUGGUCAGACCAUGGUGAAAGGACUGGUGGAUUUUAUGCGUGUAAUCGCUAUGAGUCAGCAAAGCAAGAGGGCGUGUAUGAUGAAUCUGAGAGGAGGAGGGAGAUGGCCAAAAACUCUCUGGAAAGAUACACACAUUACUAUGAGCGUUGGGCAACCAAUCAAUCGUCAAGGCAAAAAGCCCUGGCAGAUCUGCAUCAAAUGCAAAGUGUUCAUCUUGAAAAGCUUAGUGAAUUACAGUCCCAACCCGAGUCACAAUUGAAAUUCAUUAUAGAUUCCUGGCAACAGAUAGUUGAAUGUAGGAGAGUGUUAAAAUGGACCUAUGC